AACGAACGCUGGCGGCAUGCCUAACACAUGCAAGUCGAACGAGACCUUCGGGUCUAGUGGCGCAAGGGUGCGUAACGCGUGGGAACCUGCCCUUAGGUUCGGAAUAACUCCCCGAAAGGGGUGCUAAUACCGGAUAAUGUCUUCGGACCAAAGAUUUAUCGCCUUUGGAUGGGCCCGCGUUGGAUUAGCUAGUUGGUAGGGUAAAAGCCUACCAAGGCGACGAUCCAUAGCUGGUCUGAGAGGAUGAUCAGCCACACUGGGACUGAGACACGGCCCAGACUCCUACGGGAGGCAGCAGUGGGGAAUAUUGGACAAUGGGCGAAAGCCUGAUCCAGCAAUGCCGCGUGAGUGAUGAAGGCCUUAGGGUUGUAAAGCUCUUUUACCCGGGAUGAUAAUGACAGUACCGGGAGAAUAAGCGCCGGCUAACUCCGUG
rnacentral:rRNA from 1 species